rnacentral:lncRNA from 1 species
AGCUGAUUUGCAACCCGCCGGAGCCGCAGCGGAGAAGAAGGGAAAAUGUCGCUGGCCGCUGCGCCGACCGUUCUAGGAUCAGCGUCCCUUUAAGAGGAGAAACACGCCGUUACUCGGUUAUCUCCACUGCCGGACCCUGACCGGCAUGAAGCUGGACAAAGGAAGUCAAUCGCCACAAACUAUUGAAAGUUGAUGGACCUCUGAGACGACCUGACCCUAAAAAUCAAAGCUAGCUAACGUUUCGGCUCCAUCAUGGACCCGUCCACCCGGGUGGUGAGUCUGGAUGCACAGGGGAACGUGGUCUUCACGGUGGUGAAGCCGGUGAUGGGCAUCUUUCAGGUGUCGUCGGAUCAAACGGGCAGUGUGGCGCAGGGUGGGAUGAGCCUGCAGGGAUUGGCGGAGAACACGCUAGUCCUCCCUCAGGCAACGAAUUCGGCUCCCCUCGACCAGAACCAGAUGGACAUGCAGCAUCAUGUCCAGCCUCAGGUCCAGGCCGAGGAGAUGACCCAGCACCAGGAACUGCUGCCAGACCCAGCUGUGCACUCGGAGACGAGCAGCCAGAUGCCAUUUGCAGAGGUGUCGUCUCUCCUGGAUCCAAACAUGAAAGGGUCGAAGGCUCGGAAGUAUCUCAUCUCAUACGAUGAAAUUAAAAGACGGCUGCAGGCUCCAGAGAAGAUGUCGCUGCGGUCUUUAGCGGCGUACACACGGGUCAGCCGAGGCCCCGCCAGCAAGAAAACACUGCUGGAGUCACUGAACGUUCUCGGCCUCACACCGAGCACAACGACCUCGGUGUCCUCCUCUUUCUCCAAACUUACUGAAGGUGACACCAGAGCGCUGUGUGAUGACAUGAGAGAUUUUGCCCAUGAUUACAUCGACUACGGCAACAUGGCCAAACAGCUGAUCCCAGAGACCAACACAGUCCAGCACUGGUCCAAAAUCAUUGAAACUAAGAACCACCUGGAGGAUAUGAGAAAAUGCUUCAAGGACCCGGUGAACAGUGGUGCGUUCGACAACGUCACUCAUGGCCUGGGACUUGGAAUGCUGGAUGUUGCACUGGACAUGAUCGUCAUGGUAAUCGAACAGCAGAUCCGCAUCCUGUCUGGCGCCGCGGCAUCAGACCCAGCCGACCUGGGUCCACCCAUGCGCCGUAUUCGCAAGCGGAACCGCAAGACCCGCUUGAUGGACAACGAGAAGUCACACAGGAUGCCCGGAGGGGUGAAAGAGCAGGGGAAGGUCAUUUCGAGAGGGAAGAGCCGAGCCAGAGCCCGGAAGAAGGUCACACAGGAACCUGGAGGAGGGGGCGGAGGCUCUGUCCCUGUGGAGACCCAGGUAGAGCAGUGCAAGCCAGACAACGUGGAGGGUAAUGUCCUCACCCUGGUCUCAGUGGGUUAUGAGACGGUUUCCAGUGGACUCAGUGCAGCUGAGACUGUUUGA